GAAACCAACAGGGAUUGCCCUAGUAACGGCGAGUGAAGCGGCAACAGCUCAAAUUUGAAAGCUAGCCUUCGGGUUCGCAUUGUAAUUUGUAGAGGAUGAUUUGGGGAAGCCGCCUGUCUAAGUUCCUUGGAACAGGACGUCAUAGAGGGUGAGAAUCCCGUAUGUGACAGGAAAUGGCACCCUAUGUAAAUCUCCUUCGACGAGUCGAGUUGUUUGGGAAUGCAGCUCUAAAUGGGAGGUAAAUUUCUUCUAAAGCUAAAUAUUGGCGAGAGACCGAUAGCGCACAAGUAGAGUGAUCGAAAGAUGAAAAGCACUUUGGAAAGAGAGUUAAAAAGCACGUGAAAUUGUUGAAAGGGAAGCGCUUGCAAUCAGACUUGUUUAAACUGUUCGGCCGGUCUUCUGACCGGUUUACUCAGUUUGGACAGGCCAGCAUCAGUUUCGGCGGCCGGAUAAAGGCUCUGGGAAUGUGGCCUCCACUUCGGUGGAGGUGUUAUAGCCCAGGGUGUAAUACGGCCAGCCGGGACUGAGGUCCGCGCUUCGGCUAGGAUG
rnacentral:rRNA from 2 species